rnacentral:rRNA from 1 species
AUUGAACGCUCGCGGCAUGCCUAACACAUGCAAGUCGAACGAGUGGCGGACGGGUGAGUAAUGUAUCGGAACCUGCCCGAUGGCGGGGGAUAACUACUUGAAACGGUAGCUAAUACCGCAUACCAUAGGAUUUGCCCCUAUGGGAUUAGCUUGUUGGUGGGGUAACGGCUCACCAAGGCAACUAUCCAUAGCUGGUCUGAUAGUAUGACCAGCCAAACUGGGACUGAGCCACGGCCCAGACUCCUACGGGCGGCAGCAGUGGGGAAUAUUGGACAAUGGGGGAAAGCCUGAGGCAGCCAUGCCGCGUGUAUGAAGAAGGCCUUCGGGUUGUAAAGUACUUUCGGCGGGGAGGCGUUAUCCGCAGAAGAAGCACCGGCUAACUCCGUGCCAGCCGCCGCGGUAAUAC